GACGAACGCUGGCGGCGUGCUUAACACAUGCAAGUCGAACGGAAAGGCCCUGCUUUUGUGGGGUGCUCGAGUGGCGAACGGGUGAGUAACACGUGAGUAACCUGCCCUUGACUUUGGGAUAACUUCAGGGAACUGGGGCUAAUACCGGAUAGGAGCUCCUGCUGCAUGGUGGGGGUUGGAAAGUUUCGGCGGUUGGGGAUGGACUCGCGGCUUAUCAGCUUGUUGGUGGGGUAGUGGCUUACCAAGGCUUUGACGGGUAGCCGGCCUGAGAGGGUGACCGGCCACAUUGGGACUGAGAUACGGCCCAGACUCCUACGGGAGGCAGCAGUGGGGAAUAUUGCACAAUGGGCGGAAGCCUGAUGCAGCAACGCCGCGUGCGGGAUGACGGCCUUUGGGUUGUAAACCGCUUUCGCCUGUGACGAAGCGUGAGUGACGGUAAUGGGUAAAGAAGCACCGGCUAACUACGUG
rnacentral:rRNA from 1 species